CGUGCCUGUGAUGUACAGCAGGUGUGCGAUAAGAUAUUCUUCGAAUUGUGUGUACGUCAUAGUUUCAUUUUUCAUCUUGAGCUAACAGAGUGGCAGGCUGUGAUGAUAACCACUGGCUCCAAGCCAUAUACCAUUAAAACCAACUGAAGCCAGGUCAGUAAUUUUUUAUGCCAGUUUGUUUAGUUUACAUGACUGCUGUGCCUAUUGUGCUAACCUGUUUAGUUUGGAGUAAUUGAACACCAGGUGUGUAAACUUGCCUAUAAA